CCUACGGGAGGCAGCAGUGAGGAAUAUUGGUCAAUGGGCGAGAGCCUGAACCAGCCAAGUCGCGUGAGGGAGUACUGCCCUAUGGGUUGUAAACCUCUUUUGUCGGGGAGCAAAAGCCGGACGUGUCCGGCUGUGAGAGUACCCGAAGAAAAAGCAUCGGCUAACUCCGUGCCAGCAGCCGCGGUAAUACGGAGGAUGCGAGCGUUAUCCGGAUUUAUUGGGUUAAAAGGGGGCGCAGGCGGCUUUUUAAGUCAGCGGUAAAAUCGUGGGGCUCAACCCCAUCCAGCCGUUGAAACUGGGGAUCUAGAGUGUGCGAGAGGUAUGCGGAAUGCGUGGUGUAGCGGUGAAAUGCAUAGAUAUCACGCAGAACCCCGAUUGCGAAGGCAGCAUACCGGUGCACAACUGACGCUCAGGCACGAAAGCGUGGGUAUCGAACAGGAUUAGAUACCCCUGUAGUC
rnacentral:rRNA from 1 species